GUCCAGAAAGCGAUCGUGAAGCUCUGGCCCGUCACCGAUAACUGCUGAGCCUGGUUCGUGCCUGUGCAGAGCAGGCCAAGCCCCACUUCCUCUGGUGAAACGUUUCAUCUGGCCACAGCGGUUGCGCAGCGCGCCUCCAUCUCACUCCUGGGCCGAAGCUGGUGGCGGGGAGGCGAGGUCAGCAGGAGGGGGACAGGAGUCCGGCGCGGCUGAUGCCGCGGAUGUGGUGGUGAGGCAGUUUGCAACAGGAAGCAGACGCGUUCACUACACACACACACACACACACACACACACCGCACCACCAGAUGCCUGAUUUCAGGCCUCUUCUAAAGGUAAGUCGAACUUCUUACAGGGGGCUUUCCGUAUUUCUGCGAACCCUGAAAGGUUUUUUUUUUUUUUUUUCGGGAUUCAGAAAUCUGAUUGGAAUUUCCAGCAGAUGAGCAGAAGGUUGUUCAACCGGAUUCUCCUCACAAGACAACAGGCAUGGUGGCCAUGGUGGGCCUGCAGGGAGGACUCCUGCUCGCCGCGUCCCUGGCGUCUCUGGGCGUCGCCGGCGCCGUGUGCCUGUGGUGCAGACGGAGAUCCAAGAUUCUACAAGAAGAGAACCAACUCUACGACCCACAAGUGAUCCACAGGGGAGGAAGUAUGUUUGCAGUGACGAGGUCAAAAACAGUGACGCGGACCAACCAGAUCACAUCGAGGUACGACGUCCCCGCCACGAACGGGAGACCUGGGGCAUCUCAACACAUGAGAAUAUGGUACCCUGCACACAACAAACGUCCACAAGAAGCUAUAGACAAUUAUGAGGAUGGAUAUCAGAACGUUUCAAAACGUGAGUGGCAUCUUUCUAACAUACUGUGA
ensembl:lncRNA